GUGGCGCACGGGUGAGUAACACGUGGGAACAUACCUCAUAGUACGGAAUAACUGCGGGAAACUGUAGCUAAUACCGUAUAUUCCAGUAAUGGGAAAGAUUUAUCGCUAUGAGAUUGGCCCGCGCAAGAUUAGUUUGUUGGUAAGGUAAUGGCUUACCAAGGCUACGAUCUUUAGCUGGUUUGAGAGGAUGAUCAGCCACACUGGGACUGAGACACGGCCCAGACUCCUACGGGAGGCAGCAGUAGGGAAUAUUGGACAAUGGGGGCAACCCUGAUCCAGCAAUGCAGCGUGAGUGACGAAGGCCUUAGGGUUGUAAAACUCUUUCAUCGGUGAGGAUAAUGACAGUAACCGAAGAAGAAGGACCGGCUAAUUCCGUGCCAGCAGCCGCGGUAAUACGGAAGGUCCUAGCGUUGUUCGGAAUUACUGGGCGUAAAGCGCAUGUAGGCGGAACAGAAAGUUAGAAGUGAAAUCCCUGGGCUCAACCUAGGAAUUGCUUUUAAAACUUCUGUUCUGGAAUUCAGGAGAGGAAAAUGGAAUAUCCAGUGUAGAGGUGAAAUUCGUAGAUAUUGGAUGGAACACCAGUGGCGAAGGCGAUUUUCUGGACUGAUAUUGACGCUGAGAUGCGAAGGCAUGGGUAGCAAACGAGAUUAGAUACCCCGGUAGUCCAUGCAGUAAACGAUGGGUGCUAGUCGUCGGACUUAUGUUCGGUGUCGUAGCUAACGCGUUAAGCACCCCGCCUGGGGAGUACGGUCGCAAGAUUAAAACUCAAAUAAAUUGACGGGGACCCGCACAAGCAGUGGAGCAGGUGGUUUAAUUCGACGCAACGCGAA
rnacentral:rRNA from 1 species